rnacentral:rRNA from 1 species
UUUUAUGUAUUAGAAAGACAACAAGACCCUGACGAACUUAACUUAUUUAGCUGGGGCAGCUAUAAAACAAAAUCUUAACUCCCAACAAAACCUCGACCCAAUCCUACUGACCAAAGAACAAGUUACCCCAGGGAUAACAGCAUAAUCGGGCCCAAGAGACCUUAUCUAACACCCGCCAUUUAACCUCGAUGUUGAAUUAAUGUACCUCUAUUUAGCAAAAUAAAUACAAGGAGGUCUGUUCGACCUCUAACACAUUACAUGAUUUGAGUUCAGACCGGCGCAAGCCAGGUCAGCUUAUAUCUUCUUAUAAAAAAGUGCUAGUACGAAAGGACCUCACAAAAAAUCCCA